CAAUAGAAGUGAGGUGGUGCGGGCUUUUGAAGGCUUUAGAAAACCCACCCUUACGAUCUUUGUUCCACCUCUGGGGAAAGAGGACAUCCUUGCACGUGUCUGGCAUUGUUCACGACAACACUGCAACCGAAAUAAAGCGGAGUUUCUGGGAGUAGCAUUAGGAUGCAGCACUCCCGCUGUGCGCACCAGUUCCCCGCUCUGCACAGCUGCCUUCUCAGCUGGGGGUUUGAAAUCAGCACUGUGAGGAAAGACAGAAAUGACCGUGAUGCAUGCCCCUCACUAUGAGGAAAAGAUUAGGAUGUGAAGCUCUCAUCUUCUGUUCCUGUGUGCCUCUAUGCUUCCCACCACGAUAGUCAUAGACUAACUCUGAAAAGGACUGACUGUGCAAAUUCCUCGUCUAAAUUCUGCAGCGCUGGCAGUAAGCUCCAGCAGGCACAUAUGUAGGCAGAGCAAAUGCAGGGUUAUGUAACUGCCCGAACAGCUUGUGCCAGAUUCAGCUCAGGCAGAAGGGUUCAUUUGAUACAAACCAGAGAUCGGCUGUCUAAAAGUUAAAUGAAAAUAUGGAGAACCUGACGUGGAGUGUUUCUGGAUACAGCAGCACAGUCGGAAGUUAGGCAUUGUGCAGUCUGAAAUGCUAGAACUGGAUUUGUGAACCAUUUCAAUUUCCACAGAAAAUAAUUUAACAUUUUUCUGAUAAUCCAAUAAUAUAUCUCUAUCAUAUGAUUGAACAAUAUCUAUUAUAGAUAUAACUACUGCUCAAAACUUGCAGAGGAGCCUACAGAUGAACACUUUAUAUCAGGAUAGGCAAGAAUUUUCUGUUUAGAACUUCAUUAGCACAGCAAAUAGCCUCAAAAAUUGACAAAUAAGGCUAUACAAAGUUAAAGCUUCUACACAACCCAAACAACUAUGAACUGAGUGAACAGAUGGUCCAGAGAAUGGGAGAAAACCUGGUACAGCCAGGAUGGAAAUCAGUGUGGAUCUUCACAGAAUCUUAAGGUAAAAUUGCUCUCCAACCCAACUAUAUCACUGCUCACUCCAGGGCAAACAAUCAGAAGCCUCCAACCACCGAGAUACCUGUAUAUUGUGUUUACUGUUGCUUUUUUUAAUAAUAAGAGGAAAUGAUGUAACCUAAAAGUCUACCAAGAUAUAAACAUAGAGUAUCAUUCAAGUCUUAAAGAAAAAUAAAAUUUGUAGGAAAAUUAAUGGAUGGAUAAUAUUGUAUUUAGUGAGAUAUCCAAGGCUUAGAAAGUCAAACACAGUUACAUAGGGCAGAAAACCCUGACAGCUCUUUG